rnacentral:lncRNA from 9 species
CUGGGAACCUCCAUAUGCCACGGGAGCGGCCCUAGAAAAGGCAAAAAGACAAAGAAAAAAAAAAGGAAUAUAUAUUGUGUGUGUAUAUAUAUAUAUAUUUGGAAUAUCUUUAUAUAUCUGUAUAUAUAGAGAGAGUGUGAGAAACAGGAUUAAGGGCUAGGAAAGAAUGAUACGGGGGGCGGCGGGGGGACCCAAGGAAGAGAAUGACAAGGGACCUGAUUUCAUCUCAGCACACCGACCCAGCAGUGGUCAAGGAUGACCUUCACCCCCGCUGCCCCAGACUGAGAUCCCAAAUCUCAGAACAGGACAGGCUCUUGCCCAAGGGCAAGGACGAGGCAGGAUGAAGGAACCAAAAAGCCAGCACAUCCCUCUGGCCCCGGCUCCUUCCAUUCUGGACACACUGGUCUCCUUGUUUCAUAAGAUUAUGGCCCAUUCCUGCCUCGGGGCCCUUUGCAGUUCCCUCUCCUGGAAUAUUCCACACCCCAGUGUUUCUGGGGCUUGUCUCUCACUCCACAGGGGCCUCUGUUCAUAGCAUCUCAAAGAGCCUCUUCCUUCUAUCCUUUGUCCUCCUCCCUUUCUUUCAGAGCCCAAGUCACCACCUUCAGGUUCUAUUAUACAUGUGACAUCGUCUGGCUCCGGACAGAGCAGUGUCUGAAACACACCUUCGCUAGGAGGUAUGGAACAAACAAAAGAAGACAAUUACCAAGUGGGAUAGUGAAUAAAAGAUACAGGAAGUCUACAGAAAGACACAGGAAGAGGAGGCCACACCUAAAUGCUGGCAAGGGAGCAGGCAACAGGGUCAGACGCCAAGCCUCAGACCCCUCCUGGAUACGAACCAUCCCCUGCCUCAUCAGAGCCUGGGAAGAUUUCCUACUCGUGAGGCUAACGAAUCGCUCAGAACACAACCAUCUCAUUAAGCAAUUAGCUCUGGGAGCGCCAAGGCAAGGAAGUGACCUCACUGGCCGCUCGACAAGACACCGCCCUGCCGCUGGGGAGGAAGAUUGCCGGAAAGCAGGAGGAGCACUGCGUGGAGUUAAGUGGUGCAAUCUCUCUGGGCUUCUGAAAAUAGCAGAUGACCAGGACCAGGCCGGGUGAUUUCUAAAUUACUUCCAGCGCAAAAAAAAAAAAAUUCUUAGUGGUCAGACUGCUACCAACUCCACAGGUCACUCCCCUCACACCUGCCCCUGGAGGGCGCAGUCCCUUUAAAAACCAAGGCCUUGCCUUACGCUUGGGCCAAUCACCGUGAACAGAAGUUCUUUAAGGACCAAAGGAGGGAAUUCAGCCGGAGGAGGGCGGGGCAGGGGCGUGCCUUCCAGCCAAUCGGAAUCUUCUUGGCGACUAGGGACUCACGUGCAAAGCUCUGC